rnacentral:miRNA from 1 species
UCCAAGAGCCUGUUAUCGUGCU